rnacentral:SRP_RNA from 1 species
GCCGAGCUCAGUCACGAGAGCUUGUCACCCAUGUGGGAGCAUUAAGGUGGUGUGGAUGUUUGGGGUGGGCUUUGGGCCUGGGCUUGUGUUGUAAUAUUGCUGGCCUGCCCAUUCCAAGUUGGUAGUGGGCUGGGGGGCUGUUGCGAAAGCUACGGCCUCUCUGUCCCUGAAGUGGCAGGCACCAGAUGGGGACCCGGGUUGAUAUCCCAAAAUCUCAGUUUUUUUUUCCAAAUUUCUCAGUAUUUUUUUG